rnacentral:lncRNA from 1 species
CCUGACCCAGUCCUCCACCCACAGGCUCAGUCACCUAAGCAACCCUUCCUGGACCUCUUACUCAUAAAUUCUUUACCCUGCCAAACAUCCUCUUUGUGGCUUCCUAAUAUCCCACCUACACUAACACCUGGCUCACAAACAACCCAUUCUACCCCUCCCCAUAUCCUGCUCCGUGACUAUAUGAGCUAGCCUGAGAGAAAAGUAAAGUUUGCCACUUGAUCAGAAUCCUGUCUUGUGGCCAUUCUUUUUGCGUCUUUUGUCCCCAUUCCCUAUCCCUGACUCUCUUGCCCCAGGUUGAUGUCCUGCAGGUCAGGACAACUGGUGCCCAAAGUGAGGCUGGAUAGAGUUGGGGAUCUGGGAACUUCAGUGCUCAUUAGAGGGACGGCCUGUCUAUGCAAUGAGGCGUCCAAGACAAGGUCUAUUGUGAGCCUCGGUUGGAGGAAGACCCAGCAGCCUGCCCAGCACUUGGGACUUUCGGUUCAUGAGCACCAACUACAUGGAAAAGUGAGUAGGGAAAGGCCAAGACAGCUAAUGGCAGUUCCAUGAGAAACCAAAGAAGAGCUUGCUCAAGCUGGAACUACUGAUUCUACUCAGGAGAGAGGCUUGAUUGAAGGGCCAACAGGCCCUCAGCCAAUCAUCUCACUGUACCCUCUCCACCCAGAACAUGUGCCUUCCAGGGAAGCAUGCAUAUAUGACCAAUUAGAAGGUCCAGAUGCACCACCUUACUCUAAUGGUAUUUACGUGUGUGUGUGUGUGUGUGUGUGUGUGUGUGUGUGUGUGUGUGUGAAUAUAAGACAUUGAGACAACAACCGUGUCAUUAACAUGGCAACCCCAUUCUGAAAAUUUUUCCUCUAUAUUAGUUAACCCAACAGCACAAAUGUAACAAGAAAAGUAAAGAUUCAAGCUGAAUCAAGGUCACUUUCAUUCUGGUUUGAGGGACUAUGUCAAAAUAAAAUUUUGUCCUUCUCAGACAUCACAGCCUCAGGCUCUGAAUAAAUUUAUCUGUCUGUAUCUGAAGAAGAAAUAAAUUAUUUUUCGGCUAUUAAUUUGAAAACCCUGUACUUGCAACUUUCUCCCGAUUUUUUGAAAUAAAAAGGUCUCUGGAAAGUGUUAGGAUUCAGGCAUUAUGCUGGUCUGCACAACCC